rnacentral:rRNA from 1 species
UACGUAGGGGGCAAGCGUUGUCCGGAUUUAUUGGGCGUAAAGAGCUCGUAGGUGGUUCGGUAAGUCGGAUGUGAAAUCUCCAGGCUCAACCUGGAGGGGUCAUUCGAUACUGCCGUGACUAGAGUUCGGUAGGGGAGUGUGGAAUCCCUGGUGGAGCGGUGAAAUGCGCAGAUAUCAGGAGGAACACCCGUAGCGAAGGCGGCACUCUGGGCCGAUACUGACACUGAGGAGCGAAAGCCAGGGGAGCGAACGGG